rnacentral:rRNA from 1 species
CCUACGGGAGGCAGCAGUCGGGAAUCAUUCACAAUGGGCGAAAGCCUGAUGGAGCAACGCCGCGUGGGUGAAGAAGGUCUUCGGAACGUAAAACCCUGUUGUUAGAGAAGAAAGUGAGUGAGAGUAACUGUUCACGUUUCGACGGUAUCUAACCAGAAAGCCACGGCUAACUACGUGCCAGCAGCCGCGGUAAGACGUAGGUGGCAAGCGUUAUCCGGAUUGAUUGGGCGUAAGGGGAACGCAGGCGGUCUUUUAAGUCUGAUGUGAAAGCCUUCGGCUUAACCGGAGUAGUGCAUUGGAAACUGGGAGACUUGAGUGCAGAAGAGGAGAGUGGAACUCCAGGUGUAGCGGUGAAAUGCGUAGAUAUAUGGAAGAACACCAGUGGCGAAAGCGGCUCUCUGGUCUGUAACUGACGCUGAGGUUCGAAAGCGUGGGUAGCAAAAAGGAUUAGAUACCCGGGUAGUC